UCCUCUUCAUCAAAUUCAGCAUCAGAAUCUUUUGACGUAAUUGUCUGUACCGAUAAGGUAGAAUUGGCUCGGCACCUUUUACUAAAAGUAUCACGUUUUGAAAACUUGCUUGAGAAUUGAAAUAGCAACAGUCUUAAAGAUGAUUGACACCUUUUUCCUUUUUUAGGUUCUCUGUUGUGUCGUACUACCUGGCUGUUGCAAUGCUUGAAAUGUGGCAUCUCGUUGCUAAAUGAAUCAUCAGUUGUACAAUGCUCAAAUGCUGUAAAUUGUUGGCAAUGUUGCAGGACCGGUGCCGACUACAACGCUCAAUUGCGUACUGGUUUGAGGCAGCUCACGUCAUAACGAAAGGUAAGCUUCCGAAAGCAGCUUCGGUUGAGGUUCAAAG
rnacentral:lncRNA from 1 species